GACGAACGCUGGCGGCGUGCUUAACACAUGCAAGUCGAACGGAAAGGCCCUGCUUUUGUGGGGUGCUCGAGUGGCGAACGGGUGAGUAACACGUGAGUAACCUGCCCUUGACUUUGGGAUAACUUCAGGAAACUGGGGCUCAUACCGGAUAGGAGCUCCUGCUGCAUGGUGGGGGUUGGAAAGUUUCGGCGGUUGGGGAUGGACUCGCGGCUUAUCAGCUUGUUGGUGGGGUAGUGGCUUACCAAGGCUUUGACGGGUAGCCGGCCUGAGAGGGUGACCGGCCACAUUGGGACUGAGAUACGGCCCAGACUCCUACGGGAGGCAGCAGUGGGGAAUAUUGCACAAUGGGCGGAAGCCUGAUGCAGCAACGCCGCGUGCGGGAUGACGGGCUUCGGGUUGUAAACCGCUUUCGCCUGUGACGAAGCGUGAGUGACGGUAAUGGGUAAAGAAGCACCGGCUAACUACGUG
rnacentral:rRNA from 1 species